rnacentral:lncRNA from 1 species
CAUGUUUUCAAAGUGCUGUGAAUUGGUAAACGUGUAAAGCGAGAUUUGUCAACCUUGCCAGCCAAGUUACUUGAUGCAAAGGGUUACAAAGCAGUGUUUCGUGUCAAACUGUUACUGCUUUAGAUUCACUAAAAGCCUACUACUACUACUCUGGUAAAUCACAUCAGCUUUAUCAGAAUUUAGAAAAAUGAAUUAAACUACAACUUUUGAACAGUCAUUGUUUGUGAAGGUUAAAUUAUUUGCAUGUUUUUUAUACAAUUUUUUUAUAGAAAUAAUAUUAAA